AGAGUUUGAUCCUGGCUCAGGAUGAACGCUGGCGGCGUGCCUAACACAUGCAAGUCGAACGAGUUACUAUCCUGUAGCAAUACAGGAUGUGUGCUAGUGGCAAACGGGUGAGUAACACGUAAGCAACCUACCCUUGGGUGGAGGAUAACCCGCCGAAAGGCGGGCUAAUACUGCAUAUUUUCUUUUUUUCUGCUGAAAAAAAGAAAAAAGCUCUGACGAAAGUCGGGGUGCCUUUGGACGGGCUUGCGGUCCAUCAGCUAGUUGGUAGGGUAACGGCCUACCAAGGCAAUGACGGAUAGCUGAUCUGAGAGGAUGACCAGCCACACUGGAACUGAGAUACGGUCCAGACUCCUACGGGAGGCAGCAGUGGGGAAUAUUGCGCAAUGGGGGAAACCCUGACGCAGCGACGCCGCGUGGAGGAAGAAGUCUUUCGGGAUGUAAACUCCUGUUAGUGGGAACGAAGUUCUCCGCCUCUGGCGGAGAAGACGGUACCCGCAAAGAAAGUCCCGGCUAACUACGUGCCAGCAGCCGCGGUAAGACGUAGGGGACGAGCGUUAUCCGGAAUUACUGGGCGUAAAGCACGUGUAGGCGGUACAGCAAGUCUGGUGUGAAAGGUAUAAGCUUAACUUAUAUAAGUCAUCAGAUACUACUGUGCUUGAGAGUAGGAUGGGGAAGCGGAACUCACGGUGUAGCGGUGAAAUGCGUAGAUAUCGUGAGGAACACCGGUGGCGAAAGCGGCUUCCUGGACUAUUUCUGACGCUAAAACGUGAAAGCUAGGGGAGCAAACGGGAUUAGAUACCCUGGUAGUCC
rnacentral:rRNA from 1 species